CCAUGCUUCACUGCGGACGCUCACUUUUGUGCUUGGGAUGUUUAAUGUUGUUGAGAUGUAAUCAGUGAAGUGUACUGUUGUGAACACCUGAACCUGAACUGCUCUAGUUUAGGUUCAGGUGUUUGGUGGGCACUGAAGUGGCUAGAGCCCUGAUUGGUUUAUUAAUCCAGCUCCCAGAAAUGACAGACGGGCGAUGUUUGUGAUUUUACAUAUUUAAAUUCCUUUUGGCUCCUCCCACUCCCCCGCGGGGAAAGUUUCUGACACAUCGGGUGCGAGGCCACUGCACUUUGAUUGACAGCUCUUAGGGAGCCUGGAGUUGCCAGGUUGGAGUUUCACAUAGGAAGGACAAUGUUGGCAAGACGAGAGUCAACACAGUAAUGUUGUCCAUAGAAAAUGGCAAUUAUUUAAAUCUAUUGUAAAAUUACAAGGAAAUAUAUAACGACAUAGUUAUUUAUUGUCUUAUUCAAGAGCUGUCGAUCAAAGUCCAGCUUCUCCCCCAAAGUGUCAUAGAUCGAUAGAUGGAUGAUAAAUAGAUGGAGGAUAGAUGGAUGAUAGAUAUAUGGAUGAUAGAUAGAUCAAUAGAUAGAUGAAUGAUAGAUAGUUACUUUAUUUAUCCCAAGCUGGGAAAUUCCGGUUUAACAGCAAAACGUUUCAUACAGCACACAGAAUAUAUACAAUAUCUACACAAACAAAUGUAAAAUACGAAUUGCAAAAAUAUAGAGAACAAGAAUAAUAAAUGUAAAGAAUUUACAUGAAUAUUAACAGUGUAAAUAGAGCAGUAGUACAAUCAGUAACCAGUAGUGUGCAGAGGAACAUGAAGGUGCAAAUGUGCCGGGAUUCAUGUUUUCAUUUAGAUUAAAACAUGAAUCAUAAAGUUUCCUCAAGGGAUUUAAAUCUGCGCGUGUGAAACAUAGACUGAAUAUGAACACGUGUGAAAUCACAAACAUCGCUUGAGUCAUUUUGAAGGUUCUUCUUGUAUUGGAGCGCCACCUAGUGGACUAUCCAGGUGAUGUAGUUUAAUCUUCAUGUCGGACUGAAUUGAAGUGUUACAGUGAAACUGACAGAUUCUAUCGUCUUGACGACAGCAUCACGUGCACCUGUGAAAUAUCUCUCUUUCAUGGAAUAUGUAUUUUAAAUGUUCUGUGUGUCAGUUGAUCAAAUCUUCAGGACUUUUCACAGUGUCGUGUUAUUCGCGGUGUAAUUCAGUCUCAUGUGAUCAGAUCUUCAUAUCUAUAUGAAUGUUUCAUGCACUGGUUGUUCAGUGUGUUGACUUGUUGGACACAUGUUGGUGCUUCUGCUCUUCAGGUGUUGAAGUGUCUGAACGUUUGGUCUCCUCAGGGAACCAUGAGGGCGUUUGUCCGACUCUUCUCGAGGCAGAAGAAGGUGAAGACGUGUCUUUGUGGUGUCGCCUGGUUCCCUCGGUCGACUUGAAGGACCUCACCCUGGAAGUCACCAGAACUGACGUGGACAAGGAGGUUUACGUGUGUCGACUCGGGAAGGAAAUCGCUGAAGAACAGUCGUCUCAGUACAAACACAGAACACGUCUGAGACAAGACUCGAUCACAGGAACCUUCACUCUGACGAUCUCCUCAGUGAACACGUCCGACAGUGGAACGUACCAGUGGUACUCACCCCAACAUGAGGCCAUGUGCAGGUUCAACCUCACAGUGGGUAAGAAGUGAAUCUAAUACUGUACAGGACAGUUGUGUUUGUAUCUGACCUGAAACAGUGAAGAAGAGAGACGGGUUCAGGACCACGACGCCUCUGGUGACGACAAACAGCCCUGGUGAAGGAAAGAAGGAACAAGUCGGAGUCAGAGUCGGAGUCAGAGUCGGAGUCAGAGUCAGACUCCUUGUUGCUGUUGUGAUUAUUAUCAUCUUCCUGGUGAAAACUGGAACGAUCCGGAAAUGUACGGAGAGAGUCCGAGGACGAAGGAGACCAGAUGCAGUCCUCCGGUCCACCAGGAGUGUGUUGGCUCCAUAACUGCCCCUCGACUGAAACCCGACUUGUGGCCAGCAAACACUUCCUGUUUUUCACGGCCUGUCAUAUUGGGAUCACAGAUCCUUGGGGUUGGGGAUUUUUUCAUCUACUCCACAAAUGGUGCUGGGUCCUCAAACACCAUCCUCAUCAAGUCCCCCACAUGAUCUGUAAAACAUUCCAUUGUUCAUUUUCGAGAGUUUUCCUGAAUCCACUUUUGUUGUUAACUUAAAAUGUCCAGAAUUAUGAAUUAUUCAUUUGAAUUUGUCAUCAUGUUUGUAGUAGUAAAAUAGUGUUUUACAACUUACUGGAUGUGGAUUCUGUUUGAAGAGGCUUUGUCUUUGGGGAAGAGGGGUCUUUAUGCCCAGGGAUGUUCUGAAUGUGGUUAAACAGUGAAGUCCACUCGGAGGGUAAAGAGGUCGCACUCCAAUAGACAUGGUUCCUUAAACCGUGGAACACGAGUGUUGCCGAUUGGCGUGAUGUACUCUGAAACACAAGGGGAAAUAAAACACUAGGAGUUGGGCCACUCCAUCAGCCACGCACGCACUCACGCACACCUGAUUGGUCGUCAGGGUUUGUAGCAGGAGCCUCCGGUUGAUCCGAUCCAGCACCGACCGUGAAGUGACAUAUCAAAUAUUUUUUUUUGCCUUUGCUAUAUUUAUGUAAGCACAACUGGAAUUGUUAUCUUUUAUGAUUAUUGUGUUUGGGGUCAGUUCCUGUUAAUAAUAAAAAAUACAUACUUUU